rfam:Dictyostelium lacteum strain TK GLQOFTK02GHM7A, whole genome shotgun sequence.
GUACUUUUGUCCGAGUGGUUAAGGAGUUAGCUUUAGGCGCUAAUGGGAAACCGCGUGGGUUCGAACCCCACAGAGUACA